rnacentral:rRNA from 1 species
UACAGAGGGUGCGAGCGUUAAUCGGAAUUACUGGGCGUAAAGCGCGCGUAGGCGGCUUUGCAAGUCGGGUGUGAAAUCCCCAGGCUUAACCUGGGAACUGCAUUCGAGACUGCAUUGCUAGAGUAUGGGAGAGGGAAGUGGAAUUUCCGGUGUAGCGGUAAAAUGCGUAGAUAUCGGAAGGAACAUCAGUGGCGAAAGCGGCGCGCUGGACCUCUUCUGACGCUGAGGCGCGAAAGCCAGGGGAGCAAACGGG